rnacentral:rRNA from 1 species
UACGAAGGGGGCAAGCGUUGUUCGGAAUUACUGGGCGUAAAGGGCGCGUAGGCGGCCGAUCAAGUCAGGCGUGAAAUUCCCGGGCUCAACCUGGGGGCUGCGCUUGAUACUGAUUGGCUUGAAUGCGGGAGAGGAUAGUGGAAUUCCCAGUGUAGAGGUGAAAUUCGUAGAUAUCAGGAGGAACACCGGUGGCGAAGGCGGCUUUCUGGACACUAACUGACGCUGAGACGCGAAAGCGUGGGGAGCAAACAGG